AACGAACGCUGGCGGCAUGCCUAACACAUGCAAGUCGAACGAGACCUUCGGGUCUAGUGGCGCACGGGUUCGUAACGCGUGGGAAUCUGCCCUUCGGUUGGGAAUAACUGAGAGAAAUUUCAGCUAAUACCUUAUAAUGUCUUCGGACCAAAGAUUUAUCGCCGAUGGAUGAGCCCGCGUAGGAUUAGGUAGUUGGUGGGGUAAUGGCCUACCAAGCCGACGAUCCUUAGCUGGUCUGAGAGGAUGAUCAGCCACACUGGGACUGAGACACGGCCCAGACUACUACGGGAGGCAGCAGUGGGGAAUAUUGGAAAAUGGGCGAAAGCAUGAUCAAGCAAUGCCGCGUGAGUGAUGAAGGCCUUAGGGUUGUAAAGCUCUUUUACCCGGGAUGAUAAUGACAGUACCGGGAGAAUAAGCUCCGGCUAACUCCGUG
rnacentral:rRNA from 1 species